AGCAUUUACAGUCCACAAAAGAGGGUCUAAGAAUGCUGGGAAUGGGAACAUGGAGGAAACUGCUUGUUCCAUCUCUAGGUGGAAAUUUGGCUGAGUGUUUCCCAAUGCCUCCCAUUCUUAUUAUUCUUAAUCACUCCUUCCUCUUCAUUUUGACU
rfam:Oryza sativa Japonica Group DNA, chromosome 4, cultivar: Nipponbare, complete sequence.